AAUCAACGCUGGCGGCGUGCCUCAGACAUGCAAGUCGAACGCGAAAGUUUCCUUCGGGAAGCAAGUAGAGUGGCGCACGGGUGAGUAACACGUAGGUUAUCUACCUCCGAGUGGGGAAUAACAGCCGGAAACGGCUGCUAAUACCGCAUAAUACCGAAAGGUCAAAGCUUUAUGUGCUUGGAGAGGAGCCUGCGGCAGAUUAGCUAGUUGGUAAGGUAAUGGCUUACCAAGGCACGAUCUGUAUCCGGUCUAAGAGGACGGUCGGACACACUGACACUGAAUAACGGGUCAGACUCCUACGGGAGGCAGCAGUCGGGAAUUUUGGGCAAUGGGCGAAAGCCUGACCCAGCAACGCCGCGUGAAGGAUGAAGUCCCUCGGGAUGUAAACUUCGAAAGAAUAGGAAGAAUAAAUAGACGGUACUA
rnacentral:rRNA from 1 species